rnacentral:rRNA from 1 species
GACGAACUGUCCAAACGUUGUUCGGAAUCACUGGGCUUAAAGGGCGCGUAUGCGGUCGAUCAAGUCAGGGGUGAAAUCCUGCAGCUUAACUGUAGAAGUGCCUUUGAUACUGGUCGUCUCGAGGGAGGUAGGGGUGUGUGGAACUUCCAGUGGAGCGGUGGAAUGCGUUGAUAUUGGAAGGAACGCCGGAGGCGAAAGCGACGCACUGGACCUCUUCUGACGCUGAGGCGCGAAAGCUAGGGGAGCAAACGGG